rnacentral:snoRNA from 1 species
UGUCUGCUGAGUGAUGCAACAAGGCUACAGAAAACACAGGUUGUGCUUCCAUCAUUGUAAAACAAGUUAUAUUGGUGACAAUGAGACCUGGGAUAAAU